GGACGAACGCUGGCGGCACGCCUAACACAUGCAAGUCGAACGGACGAGAAGGAGCUUGCUCCUUCAAGUUAGUGGCGGACGGGUGAGUAACACGUGAGCAACCUGCCUUUAAGAGAGGGAUAGCUUCUGGAAACGGAUGGUAAUACCUCAUAAUAUAGCGUUACCGCAUGAUAAUGCUAUCAAAGAUUUAUCGCUUAAAGAUGGGCUCGCGUCUGAUUAGAUAGUUGGUGAGGUAACGGCUCACCAAGUCGACGAUCAGUAGCCGGACUGAGAGGUUGAACGGCCACAUUGGGACUGAGACACGGCCCAGACUCCUACGGGAGGCAGCAGUGGGGAAUAUUGCACAAUGGGGGAAACCCUGAUGCAGCGAUGCCGCGUGGAGGAAGAAGGUUUUCGGAUUGUAAACUCCUUUUGUCAGGGAAGAUAAUGACUGUACCUGACGAAUAAGCUCCGGCUAACUACGUGCC
rnacentral:rRNA from 1 species